UGAGACAGGGUUUCUCUGGGUAGCUUUGG
rnacentral:piRNA from 1 species